rnacentral:misc_RNA from 1 species
UGACGAUUUUGUUAAUGAUGUAGAAGUUGGUGACAUGCUUCUUGUUGAUGGUGGUAUGAUGUCACUAUUGGUGAAGUCCAAAACAGAGGACUCAGUGAAAUGUGAAGUUGUUGAUGGUGGAGAACUUAAGUCUAGGCGUCAUCUAAAUGUUAGAGGAAAAAGCGCAACACUGCCUUCCAUCACUGAAAAGGAUUGGGAUGACAUAAAAUUUG